GCGCCGCUGAGGAGUCCCAUACUAGGACGAAACGGACGUUCAGCGC
rnacentral:hammerhead_ribozyme from 1 species